AGCAGUGACAAUUUUGCAGAGAGGUCUGGACAAAAUCACUCCUGCAGACUCCAUGGAGUUGGAAUCAGCUUUGGUGUCUGGUUAACUCAUUGCUUGUGGAGGUACAGAGCCUUACUGUAAACACAGAAGGUAUAGAAAAGGAACUGAAAGGUUAUCACAAGCUGGGAGGCGCCAGGCAGCAGUAGAAAUGGAGAGAGCCCACAGGGCCCUUCAGCUCAGCAGAGUUAAAGUGUCGGACAAGUUCUGCACAUGCACAGACAAGAGGUAAUACAAAGUGAACUGUUCUCAGCUAGGAAUCAGUCUUCAAAGUCAAAGAGGAAGGAAUAUAUUCGGUAAGAACAGAAGACCAUGAAAAAUGCCCUAUAUCAUCAGUGCAGAGGUCUGUCUAGCCCAGUCCUCUCUCUCCAACAGUGGCAACAGGAGAUGCUGAUUAGGAAGAACAGGUAAGCUGAGCUGCUCUCUGUGGGCUUGUCUCCUCCUGCUCCCCAGCACCCACAGUCCCUGGAGAGAGGCUGAGAGGGCUCAACCCUGCCUGUUCCCUGCAGUCCUCUGAGCAUCUCCAUGUACAACCAUCUCUUUGCAAAACAGCUCAAGACUGUCCUGCUAUUUUGAGAUUGAAAUUUAUAAUUGAUCAUGACAGGAAAGGUAGGAUGAAAAGUGGGGAAAAAAGCACAGAAGAGAAACGAAAGAAAAAGUUUCUGACAAGACUCUGCAGUGGUGAUUCAGCAAGGUACUCUCACUGGAAAAAAAAAUCUGAACUGAAGCCAGAUAAUAAAUACGGUCCCAUGGAUCCAUUAAGGUAUAUUAAUGCUGCCGCUUUUCCAUCUGUUCCCUGAAGUUCCAAACCAAAAAACAAGUCAUCUGCAGACUUGGCUCUCUCAUUGUGUGAAAUAUUCAUCUAUUAAAUUAAUCUGGAGAAAAUGGAUCCAUUUUGUCCCUGGUGGGACUUUGUUUUGUUUUAAUAGGGUUACAUACCAUGGA